rfam:Citrus sinensis cultivar Ridge Pineapple sweet orange scaffold04529_contig_2, whole genome shotgun sequence.
AUGCCAUGACGAGGGCAUCUUUUGAGUAGUUCUUUAAAUCUUUCUCAUGCAUCAUACAAGUUUUUAUCUUCAAGUUGAUGGACAGAUAUGAUCUCAUUCCUCAACUU